UGAGGAAUAUUGCGCAAUGGGCGAAAGCCUGACGCAGCGACGCCGCGUGGGGGAUGAAGGUCUUCGGAUUGUAAACCCCUUUCGGGAGGGAAGAUGGUUGCAUACAAGUGCAACGGACGGUACCUCCAGAAGCAGCCACGGCUAACUUCGUGCCAGCAGCCGCGGUAAUACGAAGGUGGCAAGCGUUGUUCGGAUUUACUGGGCGUACAGGGAGCGUAGGUGGUUAGGUAAGCCCUCCGGGAAAUCUUCGGGCUUAACCCGGAAAGGUCGGAGGGGACUGCCUGGCUAGAGGACGGAAGAGGAGCGCGGAAUUCCCGGUGUAGCGGUGAAAUGCGUAGAGAUCGGGAGGAAGGCCGGUGGCGAAGGCGGCGCUCUGGGACGUUCCUGACACUGAGGCUCGAAAGCGUGGGGAGCAAACAG
rnacentral:rRNA from 1 species